rnacentral:sRNA from 1 species
GUGAAUGCUCAGGAAUAUACUGCAGCUCCCUUCUUUCUUCCAUAGCUGCUAAAGGCCUGGAGCCCUGUUUUUAGGAACUACAUAAAGCGCGCAGCCGACCAUUUGGAAGCGUUAGCAGCCAUUGAGGACUUCUUCUUAGAGCAUGAAGCUCUUGGUAUUUCCAUGGCCAAGGUACUGAUGGCUUUCUACCAGCUGGAGAUCCUGGCUGAGGAAACAAUUCUGAGCUGGUUCAGCCAAAGAGAUACAACUGACAAGGGCCGGCAGUUGCGCAAGAAUCAACAGGUGCGUCAGGCUGUCCUCCUCUUGCCAAGACGGUUAUCUCAUUCCCAGGUCCUGGCCCCUAGACUCUAGGGUGGUUGGUUUCUGGGGCUCUGGUUGUUAGAGCUGUUUAUCUGCCGAGGGGAGCAGGAGAGUUAUGUGCACCUCCCCCAGCCGAUCUCUCCUCUGCUUCUUUACAGCUGCAGAGGUUCAUCCA